GUGGGGAAUAUUGGGCAAUGGGGGCAACCCUGACCCAGCAACGCCGCGUGAGGGAAGAAGGUUUUCGGAUUGUAAACCUCUGUCCUAUGGGAAGAAGGAAGUGACGGUACCAUAGGAGGAAGCCCCGGCUAACUACGUGCCAGCAGCCGCGGUAAUACGUAGGGGGCGAGCGUUGUCCGGAAUUACUGGGCGUAAAGGGUGCGCAGGUGGCCUGACAAGUCAGAUGUGAAAUACCGAUGCUUAACGUCGGGGCUGCAUUUGAAACUAUGAGGCUGGAGUGCAGGAGAGGGAAGCGGAAUUCCUAGUGUAGCGGUGAAAUGCAUAGAUAUUAGGAGGAACACCAGUGGCGAAGGCGGCUUUCUGGACUGUAACUGACACUGAGGUACGAAAGCGUGGGUAGCAAACAGGAUUAGAAACCCCAGUAGUCC
rnacentral:rRNA from 1 species